ensembl:miRNA
CCUGUCUGGAAAUGGAUUGAAUGUGAAUGAAUGAAUUUAAUCCAUUUCCAGGCAGCAG